rnacentral:rRNA from 1 species
GUGAGGAAUAUUGCGCAAUGGAGGCAACUCUGACGCAGCCAUGCCGCGUGCAGGAAGAAGGCGCUACGCGUUGUAAACUGCUUUUAACCGGGAAGAAACCCCAGGACGUGUCCUGGGUUGACGGUACCGGAGGAAUAAGCACCGGCUAACUUCGUGCCAGCAGCCGCGGUAAUACGAAGGGUGCAAGCGUUAUCCGGAUUCAUUGGGUUUAAAGGGUGCGUAGGCGGAGCGUUAAGUCAGUGGUGAAAUCCUGCAGCUUAACUGUAGACUUGCCAUUGAUACUGGCGCUCUUGAGUGCGCUUGAAGUGGGCGGAAUGUGCCGUGUAGCGGUGAAAUGCUUGGAUAUGGCACAGAACACCAAUUGCGAAGGCAGCUCACUAAGGCGAUACUGACGCUGAGGCACGAAAGCGUGGGGAUCGAACAGGAUUAGAUACCCUGGUAGUCC